CCCAACUGGUCCUGACAAUAAUUAAGAUUGUAGCACAUUGAGUAAAAAAGCAUGGAAUUGUGCUAAACAGAAACAAUUGAUACAAAUAUUUCUGAUCAAGCUUAUUCAUUGUUGGUCUAUCUAUUAUAAAAUUGAAUGGCAUGACUGAUCCAGACUGAUUGAUACAAUUACACUCCGUAGAAGCUUUGGUCUUUUUUGUUGUUGUUGUUUUUUUUUUCAAAAAGUAUUUUUUAUGUUUUUCUAGUUAAAUAGUUAAGUUUCUCUACAAAACAGAACUUGCAACCUCCACAUAACUUGUUUCAGUCUUGUUUCUUACUAAUCUAGUUAGUUGGAAGGGCGAUAGGAGAAAUAGUAUAGGGUGAGAGUUCCUGUCCUCAUAUUGAGGUCAGGAACAUGUGAUUUUGGGAAAUAGAAUCGGCAGCUGUUUUCAGGAUGAACUAGAAUGUGAAAAAGAAGUCAUUAGAUAUUAUGAUGUUCUGUUUUGGUUUUCUCCUCUGCGAGAAUAAUACAGAGAAAGAUAAAACUGGUUCCUUAGUCGAUAUUUCGAAUUUGUAAAUCUUAAAGAAGUAAUAAUAUUCAGCAUCAUCGAAAAAAUAACAUGGUUGUUGUUGUUUUUUCUUGGUUAUAAGUAAGGUUUUUCAAAUAUUUCUUUAUAGGCCAUCCUGACAUAAAAAAUUAGGUUACUAGGGCAGCUUGAGCUCUGCUAUGGGAUUAUUAUUUUUUUUGAUUGCCAUUGCUUGCUAUCAGAUAUUGUUACCUGCAUGACUUAAUGUUGGCUUCAACCUUGUUAGUUCACGUUUGGGAAAAAAAAAGAAUUGCUUCAGGAUGUUGAUAAAUUACAGUUGACCAUUGCUUGAAGAUGUUGAUCACUUUUUGAUGUUUUUUUCUUUUGUACAACUGUUGAACCAGAAUGUACUUUUGAUGAUUGCUUUAAGAUGUUGACCAAUGGCUUUAUUUGUGAAAUUCAACCCAUAUUUGGACUCGCUUAUGAGCAUAA